AUGGAGGGAUAUAAGAUAGAGGGAUAGGUUCUGAGAUGGUGGGAAGGCUGGUAAAACUCGAGGUGUUCAGAAAAAUGAUGUACCUAGUGUAAGAUAAUAUAAAGGGUUUGUUUUUAAAAGUGGCUGAGCUUCAAAAUCAAGUCAGCACUUACUUAUUAAGUCCCCAUUGUGUAUUUUCAGAAAAAAAAAAAAGUAUAGCUGCUGCUAUUAGAAAUCUCAGUCUGUGAAACAACUGAAGGCCAAUCCAGGAUUCGAUUCAGGGGAUAGGUUGGAAGAAUUGCCUCUUCUUCCUGCUCUGCACUUAUAACUACAGUGUUACAACAUUAUAUAGAUUUGCCUCCCUGCCAUGAAAAUCGGAAUGCAGUGGCCCUUUGCUUCCAAAACAAAUAUGAGUUUAGUUUCCCAGCAUUUCCCGUCUUUUCCAGGAGCUCGGUUUUGAACAAGAUUAAACAUGCACACAGCUGAAAUCAAGCUGGGUACUAUGGAAAUGUUGAAAGAGUGGACUUAAAUCCUAGCUCCUCAGGACGGUCUAGAUUCAUUCCACAGCAAAUAUUCCUCACAGCUGCUGCUCUUCUGGUAAACAGAAGAGAGAAGAAGAAAUAAGUUAUUAUCUGCCUGUUUAAACUGUCCCAAACUGAGAGACUAACACGUAGUACGGGUGACAUGCAGCAUGAGUUUCUUUUUCUACAGGAUUUUGUUUGUUUUGUUUUAGUUUUACCUGACUGGAACUUGCCUUCUGGGGACCUUAAGUUCUAAAUGAAGAAAAAAUAAUUUUAUUUAUUAAAGAUUCAAUUUUGCUUCUAAGAGUUUAAUCAGAGUCUCUUUCUCCAACUUGAAUUCCCCAUUCACCAAGAUUCCUUGUACUGUUGGUAACUGUCAUAUAAGAGAACCGUUUUUAUAUCUAGCAAGACCUCUUUGUCAUCUUUAAGGAUAAGAUUGAUUAAGAGAGAAGAGAACCAGGCAAUGUGCAUUUGGGAACUUAUUAUUACUCUCAAAGUUCUGGUUGUCUGAACCUCUGAAAGAUGACUGAUGCCCCGAUCUCAGCUCAAAAUACACAGAGACAUCGUGUUUGGUGGAAGACACCUCAGAGAUCUGCUGACUAGCCUCUUCAUUUAUUAUAAUUGAGAAAGCUGAGGUAAAGGGAGCAUCAUAUUCUUUCAGCAUUUUCCUUAGAGUGAUUUAGUUUUGCUUCCCACUAUGUGACUUAAAUGACUCAAGAAGUCUUGCAAACAGAUGUGCGCAGGUAGCAAAUCCAUGACUAGCAUGGCUACCAGCACUGACCACAGAGCAACAGAGAAGGCAAAUGAGGUGGUCAUCGUUGAAUUCAGUUUAGAGGUCAGAAUAAGGGCAUUCUUAUCAUAGAUUGCUGAAGGAAAAUGAUAUAUCCGCAAAGUCACUACUCUACAAUAGGUUAUUUUUAAGGUCCCAUAAAAAAAGCCCAUGAUUUAGAAACAAGGCUAGAUUGCGAAGUACUCUUAUUUUAAGAGGUUCCCAGGCAUUUGGUGGUGCUCUUGAUCCCCACAUCCUGGGUUUUGAAUGAUUUUUCCCAAGCAAAAAAUUGGCUUGCCUACAUGUGUGAGCCACCAUAUCUUUUUUUUUUUUUUUUUUUUUUUUUUUGGCCAAUAGUCAUAUCUACUGUUACUGCAGGACCUGAGAUUCAAGCACAAUAAGAGGCUAUACCAGGCUGACAGAGAAGGACAAGAAGUGGUAGUCAACAGAGAUCCUGUGGCUGAGCUAGCAGGAAGCCACAGAGCAGCAAAAGAGUGGGGUCUGAUCCGGCCUUGCUAUUCACUGUAUCUUCUACAAACAGCAUCUGCCUCUUUUGGGAGCUCUGUAGAAAGGCAGAACUUGCAUUUUAACAAGCUCUUCAGGCGAUUCUUAUGCACAUUAAACUUUGAGGAGUAGUGCCUGGUCCCACUCCCAGAGAGUCUGAUUUAAUAGGUUGGGUUUGUGGCCUGGGCACAAAGACUUCGAAAAGCUCCCCAGGGGAUUCUAAAGUGCAGUGGUGGUUGAGAACCACUGCCCUGGAGCUUGAGGUUAUGGCCACAAGCACUGGAUAUGAGAAAGCAAUGGGCAAAUGAGCUUGACCUGAGUAAGGGCAGCUUAUAUUCUUGUUCUGUUUUUGAUGCAGAAAUCUCCAUAGGAAUUUAGAGAAAGGGCUUCUUCAAAAGAAAAUAAUGGAGAGAAAGCAAACCCAAGAAGAGCUGGGGAAGCAGACAGGGAAAGGUCUCUGCAAACAACAGUAGCUGGGAUUCAAUGAAUUCAUACAUGCAAAGAAGUUAGAACAGUGGCUCACACAUAAUAAAGGCUUUAUAAAUGUAGGCAUGUUGGCUGGGUGCAGUGGCUCAUGCCUAUAAUCAGUGAACCAAAGAGACAAAAACCUCUGUCCUCCUGGAGUUUGCAUUGUAGUGGGCAUACAAUAACCUGUGUACCCAAUGCUGUUCAAUUUGGGGCAUGAACCUCUAUGUCAUAAACGCAACUGUAUCCCUGAAAUGUUGCCACAGUUCACUUAAGAAGAAUCAAAUGCAAAUAGUUGGACAAACUCUAGAAUUAUUUGUCAGAAAUGUCUCCUACCCCACCAGAGGCUACAUGGCAAGUCUUCUUGAAUUCCUUCAUUUCCAG
rnacentral:lncRNA from 10 species